AAACUAACAAGGAUUCCCCUAGUAACGGCGAGUGAACCGGGAAGAGCUCAAAUUUGAAAUCUGGCGUGCUCAGUGCGUCCGAGUUGUAAUCUAUAGAGGCGUUUUCCGUGCCGGACUGUGUCUAAGUCCCUUGGAACAGGGUAUCAAAGAGGGUGAUAAUCCCGUACUUGACACAAUGACCGGUGCUCUGUGAUACGUCUUCUACGAGUCGAGUUGUUUGGGAAUGCAGCUCAAAAUGGGUGGUGAGUUCCAUCUAAAGCUAAAUAUUGGCGAGAGACCGAUAGCGAACAAGUACCGUGAGGGAAAGAUGAAAAGCACUUUGGAAAGAGAGUUAAACAGUACGUGAAAUUGUUGAAAGGGAAACGAUUGAAGUCAGUCGUGACUGAGAGGCUCAGCCGGUUCUGCCGGUGUAUUCCCCUCAGUCGGGUCAACAUCAGUUUUGUUCGGUGGAUAAGGGCAGCUGGAAGGUGGCACCUCCGGGUGUGUUAUAGCCAGCUGUCGCAUACAUCGAAUGAGACUGAGGAAUGCAGCUCGCCUUUAUGGCCGGGGUUCGCCCACGUCCGAGCUUAGGAUGUUGACAUAAUGGCUUUAAACGAC
rnacentral:rRNA from 1 species